rnacentral:rRNA from 1 species
AGUGAACGCUGGCGGUAGGCCUAACACAUGCAAGUCGAACGGCAGCACAGUAAGAGCUUGCUCUUACGGGUGGCGAGUGGCGGGCGGGUGAGGAAUACAUCGGAAUCUACUUUUUCGUGGGGGAUAACGUAGGGAAACUUACGCUAAUACCGCAUACGACCUACGGGUGAAAGCAGGGGAUCUUCGGACCUUGCGCGAUUGAAUGAGCCGAUGUCGGAUUAGCUAGUUGGUGGGGUAAAGGCCCACCAAGGCGACGAUCCGUAGCUGGUCUGAGAGGAUGAUCAGCCACACUGGAACUGAGACACGGUCCAGACUCCUACGGGAGGCAGCAGUGGGGAAUAUUGGACAAAGGGCGCAAGCCUGAUCCAGCCAUACCGCGUGUGUGAAGAAGGUCUUCGGGUUGUAAAGCCCUUUUGUUGGGAAAGAAAAGCAGCAGGUUAAUACCCCGCCGUUUUGACGGUACCCAAAGAAUAAGCACCGGCUAACUUCGUG